AACACUGUAGAUGAACCUGGUGAUGUGGCACUGUAAGAAUGCAGGGGUCAGAUGUAGAUGUGGGGGAGAUGAUGCGGACGUGAUCAGUUCCAACA